UCCCUGACAGUCCAGUGGUUAGGAUUUGGUGCUUUCACCGCCAAAGGAUGCAGGUUCAAUUUCUGCUUGGGGGA
rnacentral:tRNA from 1 species